rnacentral:rRNA from 1 species
GACGAACGCUGGCGGCGUGCCUAAUACAUGCAAGUCGAACGCUGAAGGAGGAGCUUGCUCUUCUGGAUGAGUUGCGAACGGGUGAGUAACGCGUAGGUAACCUGCCUGGUAGCGGGGGAUAACUAUUGGAAACGAUAGCUAAUACCGCAUAACAGUAGAUGUUGCAUGACAUUUACUUAAAAGGUGCAAUUGCAUCACUACCAGAUGGACCUGCGUUGUAUUAGCUAGUUGGUGGGGUAACGGCUCACCAAGGCGACGAUACAUAGCCGACCUGAGAGGGUGAUCGGCCACACUGGGACUGAGACACGGCCCAGACUCCUACGGGAGGCAGCAGUAGGGAAUCUUCGGCAAUGGACGGAAGUCUGACCGAGCAACGCCGCGUGAGUGAAGAAGGUUGUCGGAUCGUAAAGCUCUGUUGUAAGAGAAGAACGAGUGUGAGAGUGGAAAGUUCACACUGUGACGGUAUCUUACCAGAAAGGGACGGCUAACUACGUG